rnacentral:rRNA from 1 species
GAUGAACGCUGGCGGCGUGCCUAAUACAUGCAAGUCGAGCGAAGCGGGGACGGGUGAGUAACACGUGGAUAACCUCCUAUAAGACUGGGAUAACUUCGGGAAACCGGAGCUCAACCGGAUACUAUUAGAUGGAUCUGUGUUGCAUUAGCUAGUUGGUAAGCUAACGGUUUACCAAGGCAACGAUGCAUAGCCGACCUGCGAGGGUGAUCGGCCACACUGGAACUGAGACACGGUCCAGACUCCUACGGGAGGCAGCAGUAGGGAAUAGUGCGCAAUGGGCGAAAGCCUGACGGAGCAACGCCGCGUGAGUGAUGAAGGUCUUCGGAUCGUAAAACGCUGUUAUUAGGGAAGCGGUACCUAAUCAGAAAGCCACGGCUAACUACGUGCCAGCAGCCGCGGUAAUUC